rnacentral:rRNA from 1 species
UGAGGCGUGGCUUCCGGAGCUAACGCGUUAAGUCGACCGCCUGGGGAGUACGGCCGCAAGGUUAAAACUCAAAUGAAUUGACGGGGGCCCGCACAAGCGGUGGAGCAUGUGGUUUAAUUCGAUGCAACGCGAAGAACCUUACCUACUCUUGACAUCCAGAGAACUUUCCAGAGAUGGAUUGGUGCCUUCGGGAACUCUGAGACAGGUGCUGCAUGGCUGUCGUCAGCUCGUGUUGUGAAAUGUUGGGUUAAGUCCCGCAACGAGCGCAACCCUUAUCCUUUGUUGCCAGCGGUCCGGCCGGGAACUCAAAGGAGACUGCCAGUGAUAAACUGGAGGAAGGUGGGGAUGACGUCAAGUCAUCAUGGCCCUUACGAGUAGGGCUACACACGUGCUACAAUGGCGCAUACAAAGAGAAGCGACCUCGCGAGAGCAAGCGGACCUCAUAAAGUGCGUCGUAGUCCGGAUUGGAGUCUGCAACUCGACUCCAUGAAGUCGGAAUCGCUAGUAAUCGUAGAUCAGAAUGCUACGGUGAAUACGUUCCCGGGCCUUGUACACACCGCCCGUCACACCAUGGGAGUGGGUUGCAAAAGAAGUAGGUAGCUUAACCUUCGGGAGGGCGCUUACCACUUUGUGAUUCAUGACUGGGGUGAAGUCGUAACAAGGUAACCGUAGGGGAACCUGCGGUUGGAUCACCUCCUUA